GUGGGGAGCUUCCUUCCCUCAACUGCAGUCCUGGUGAAGGCUGCCUUCAUUACUGAAUUCAAAGCAGUGAACCUUACUACAAACCAAGGGUUCAAAUUGGAGUUUGAAAUGGGCAUGCUUCUGCAUGAACUAGAUAAGAAACGUGGAUCCAAAUGGACAAUAACGAGAACAAACAGCUUCCCUUGAAAUUGUACUCACCCCUCCCAAGAAACCCAUAAAGGGUGGACCCUGCUUAGCCAAGGGGACAAGUAAUGCUUGCUACCACAAGACCAGCUCUCUUCACAAAAAUGACAUGGACAAAAUAGAAAACUUCAGAUUGUGGCAAAUGGAAGAUCUCAAUUUCCUCCCCUCAUGUAUGAUGAAGCGGGGAAGAAGAGUAUGUACACCCAAGACUCACUACACUAAAUACCGACAACCCAAGUCUAUCUCUUCGGCGGGCGGGUGGGGCUUCCAGAGAGGUCUCCAUGCAGGCCUCGCCAAAGCCUGAAGCUCAGGAAGGAAGGAAGAAGGAAGGAAGGAGGCAGGCUGGCAGGCAGGCAGGCAGAGUGUCCAGUGCUGGCUGCCCUUGCCCACCACAACUCUCUGCAGACCCUCUGCCCAGCCCAGCCUUAAUAAUGGAGCUGUGAGGAUUAACAGAAUGUAUAACUAUUAAAGAAGUGAUGCAAGAAGAAAAGGCAUUGCCAAAGUUUAAUCAACAAGGCUAGCAAAAAGGCCAUUAGUGGCCUCAGAGGAAAUACAUCCAACUCCUUCAGUCAAAAAGAAAUGGUAGCAUUUCCAAAAGAGCUUCUAUGUCUGCUGUGCAAUAAAUAUACUAGCCAGAAUUAUGGAAAUCUUGGAACUAUUGUAAUUUAUAGUAUUUUUCUUGUAAUUUAUUGUUUCUGGAAAUGUCCACAUUUGGGUUUUUGUUGUUGUUACCCAUUCAGUCCUGUUUCCUAAUAGGACCUCUCAUUUUUUGUGGUUUAAAAAUGUUCAUGGAAUGGGUUUGACAAUCACUAACAAUUAAUGGACAACACAUUGACUGAAAGGCAUUAUCUGCAUUUUUGCUACAUUCAAAUAAACCUGCAUAUUACAUAUAGUCUCUUAGCUUUGUAAUGGGAUUCAGAGAUGAAAGCAGUGUUUGACUUACCAGAUGCAAGGGGACAUAUUUUGUACAGUAUAAUCACCAUCUUGAAAUAAAAAAAGAGUGGGACGAUUAAAGAGAGGAUUACAGAGGGCAUUGCCUGUGAGAGUUAACUUCCUGUCUGAAUACUCCUAAUUAUAUUUUGCAGUUUACCUGAGUCUUCUGUUCCACAUUGUGGGUGAUUUGUUUUGCUGAGGCUGUCAUUGAUCAAUCAGUUAAUCUUUGUAUCUGCGUACCACCAGAAGAAAGGGGAAAGAAGUAGAAAAUAUUAAAGUAUAUCCUUUAGAAGACAGGGAUCCAGUAUGCAUUUCUAAAAUGCAGACUCUUUGUAUUAGUUGCAAAAGUGGUUAAACGUUCUUGGGUCAAUUUGGAACAUCUGCUCCCAAUUUAACGUUUUGCUUUCAAUUAUUUUAAAUAUGUUUUACCUGAAAAUGAUUUGUUUUAAAGGGUGAAGGGUGGUGGAGAUUUUUAUCUCUGUCAAUGACAGCACUUCAUCAGUGGAGCAGCAAUGUGCACUCAGGAAAUCCCCCAUCUGCUGCCUUCUUGACUUUUAAAGAAA